rnacentral:pre_miRNA from 1 species
AAAAAAGCCCAUUGGCUGAUUCCCACAUUAUUAAAUUUUAGUAGUGAUUAAGGGUGCGGGUGCGGCUUCAU